rnacentral:rRNA from 1 species
AGCUCCAAUGGCGUAUAUUAAAGUUGUUGCAGUUAAAAAGCUCGUAGUUGGACCUUGGGCCUGGACGGGCGGUCCGCCUCACGGCGUGUACUGUCUUGCCGGGCCUUUCCUCUUGGUGAUCUGUUGUUUCGGCAGCAGGGAACCAGGACCUUUACUUUGAAAAAAUUAGAGUGUUCAAAGCAGGCUCGACGCCGGAAUAUAUUAGCAUGGAAUAAUAAAAUAGGACGUGCGGUUCUAUUUUGUUGGUUUUUGGAAUCGCCGUAAUGAUUAAUAGGGACAGUCGGGGGCAUUAGUACUCACAUGCUAGAGGUGAAAUUCUUGGAUUUUGUGAAGACUAACUUCUGCGAAAGCAUUUGCCAAGGAUGUUU